rnacentral:misc_RNA from 1 species
CCAGAAGAUGCUCUCCCUAGGA